AGGGAAUGAGCAAACAAGUGACUGGGGCUACAGGAAGUGAUGGAGACCUCAGAGAUCAUCUGGGAUGGCCCUCCUCCUCUGGGUGAGGAAAUAAACCCAGAGAAGACGCACAAUUGUGGGGGAGCGGCAAUGCAUCUCCAGAGUUGAGGCACUUCAACCCUCACUGCUGAUCCUGCCUUCACAGCAUCAGGCUAAUGGCCAUUCCUGGUAAAGAACAUGUUGGAAAGAAGAGUUGAUAGGCCGGAAUGGAGAAGAGAAAAACAUUUUGCUGAGGUAUGUGGAUUAUUCAAAUGCUGAUAGUGACUUGUCUACAUUCUGCAUAGUACUUAUUGGGUACUAAGAAUGUAUUGUCAGAUGUCAGAUGCUACACAUCAUAGCCGAAACCAUAGCAACUGGGAAGUGAGAUCAUGGGGGAAAAGAGGGAAUGGAAGUAUGUGGACGAUGGUAGCGGCUACCAUCCUCCAUUUACUCUCACUUUGAUGCAUAGGGAGAGGUCUUGAAGAACCAUGAUCCUAAUGACCUAGCUGGUGGAAGAAACCCACAGAAUUGCAGCUUCUCCGUAUUGGCACAGCCAUGGCAUACGGGAAGCCUGUUAUACUACCUCUGAGGACGCUGAGGUGGAUGGUGUGUUGAUGUGGAUAAGGGUGAUGAAAUGAUUUUUAGUCUCACUUAUCAGCAGAAAUUUAAUAUGACCAAAAAAAUCAUUUUAGAAAUAUAUGGGAAGAAGAAUCCUAUCCAUUGUCCUAUCUCUCUUAGCAUAUUGUGAACUUGACUGGCUUGGGAAGAGAAGGUAGUUUAAUUUUUGGGCCGUCUAGAUCCACCCUUCCAUUCACAGACAGUCUUACUCUUUGCUGACCUUUCCAACUGCACUUUUUGUUUCUUGAGCCACAUCCAUUCCUUCCUGUGUGAGGCCUCUUCAGAUGGAUGGUCUAUACUUGUAGGUAAGACUAGACCAAGGAAUGAAUGUUAUAAAGACUGGAACAUAGAAAGGGGAAACUAGUAAACAGAAUGAACUGCUUAGUGAUAAUAGCACAAUGGUCUAGCCCUAGAGGAAGUAGAUAGAGGCUUACUAAUUGUAUUUGUUCAGGGCAUUUCCAAAUUAUUGAGUUUUUGUGUGUUUUUUCCAAAUGCAAGUAGAGACAAAACCUUUCCACCUGUAAGGUCACAAGUUUUCUUCCUUACUGUUAUCAGUUUCCCACUUCUGUCUUUGACCCAUCUGUCUUCCAAAAGCAUGUUUAAGUCUAUGAGGGAGGAAUUAAGGAAUAUUAAUGCUAAGAAUAAAUAAAUAUUAUAUAUUAUAAUAUAAUAUAAAAUUAUAAUUAAUACUAUAAAUAUUAUGCUAAGAAACAUUAUUUAUUAUAAAUAAGAGUAAAUAUUAUGCUAAGAAACAUUAUUUAUUAUAACUCUCCUUUAUGUACCACUGUACUCUGAACACACCAUGAGCUUUAAAAAGGGACCAGUUAGUGAACAAUUACUUUUAAAUAAAAUAAUAAAAUGAAACUGCAUUUUUCCAUAUUUAGAUAUAUUUUCACAUAUUCAUAUUCAUAUUUAUAUGUACGAUCGUACAGCUAUUACUCUAAAUCUGGAUGGCAAUACCUUUGUGCUUACUUUUCAAAAUCUUUGUCUUUGUGUGUAGAAGCUGUGCUGCUGAAACAAAUAUAUUCUCACAGGCUCUAUAACCCAUUAAAACCCUGCAUAACCAUUAAAAACCAAAUGCGUGCUGCUGUCGCCUGGAGGCAUCAUCAGAUUGUUUAAAUUAAACUUUUUUUUAGUACUUGGGGAAGAAAACACAAAUCUACAUCAGAUGGGUCUUUGUGGCGUUUUAAUGAAGAGCUUUUAAAAUAUGAAAAUAAUUCUAGCAAAAUAUCUUGAAUAUUGAUGUGCUAAACAAUAUACAGGGAUCUUCAAAGGAUCUUGAGUUCUUUGCUGUGCUUACCAGCCAAAGAACAUGUACCUAACGUAUUAAAGACUUACGGAUUAUGCCGUGAGAUAUGGUUUGACUCAUAUUUUAGUUGGAUCCAUGCCAUAGUACAGUGCUUUUAAUUGUCUUUUAUCCCGAAUGCUUCUCAGUUGCAAAUAACUCUGCCACACCUGGAUUCAAAUACUUCCAGACCUGACCCAAUCCAACUCCCUAAGAGACCUCCCAGGCUCAAAAAUGUCUCUUUUACUGGCUGCCUGCAAUUUCCAUUAUUAAACUCAUUCCUUUAGGAUAAACUGCCUUCUUUUAAAAUGUGAGCAUACUAUCUGGAUAGGGUAACUAAUGAACAUAUUAAAUUUAUUAUCAAUAUGGAAUUAUAUUGUGCUGUGGGCAGCCCCUGCUCACCCCCUUCCCCAUUUCACAUGGCCCUUCCUAAGAAACUACUCUGCUUCUUGUCUUGCUGCCUCAUUGGAAUGAUAGUUUCCACCCAAAGUGCAGGAGAUGUGCAAACAAAGGCGAAGGAACACCCUUCACCCAGUUCCUUUUGGGAGACCUGGCCCUACAAAGCCAAAGCGAAAGGAUCAAAACUGACUGUUGACAGAAGGAAGGAGAGAGCAAAAGGGAAAUUUUAGACCAGCUUAGGGAAGGCAAGCCCAAAGUGGAUACUAUAGAAUGAAACCCCAAACAGCUGUGUGGGCAGCAUGGCAAUGCCAAUAGCUGAAACAAGAGCCUCCCAUGGAUGGGACAAGGAGCGUGGAAGCCAAAGACAGACAGGCCGGACCCGUCUCCUAGUUUUCAACUUUCCUUCAGUAGACCCAAGAGAGAACAGAACCAGGUGGAGGAAAGAGAUAGGGGAAUCUCAAAUAUUUAUGGGUGUGAUAAGCCUUGGAGAGUUUAAAGCAGAUGGGAGAGACAGGUGAGGCUGGACUGAGGGGAAGGGAAUGUGGCAAAAGGUGGGGGGUCUUAAUGGUUUUUUAAGGAAGCAGUGAUGUCCACGGUGCAGGUGUGGAGUCAAAUAAGACACUCAGUUCUGGUGGCUAAGUGCAUAUUUUCUUUUUACAUGGCUGGGUUAAAUUACUUCCCCUAGGUCAUCCAAUUAAUCACUUGGAGAGCAAGGAAGAGAAUUGAGCUCUCAAGGCUCUCAUUUCACAGCUGGAGCAGGCAAACCUGACUUCUCUUUCCACAAACACCCUUUUCAUUAAAACAAACAAACAAACAAAAAAAAACUUUUGCAAAUCAAUGAAGUUUUGAGCUCUUUUACAAAGAAUUUACGAUACCCCCUUACUCCUUACAUGAUUAACUUGAGGUAGUGUUAGCACAGAGAAGCUCUAUAAAUUGCUUUCUUCUCUUUCAUUGAAGAAUUUUAAAUAUCUAUCACAAUUACUUUGAUUUCCCCCCAUUCCCCCCACCCAGAUUUCAAACUGUUAUUCUGAAGAGCUGAUAAAAAAUUUGAGUUGCAGAUCUGAGAAAACAGUGUGUGUGGAGCUUAACUGCUGCAUGACUGAUUGUGUGAUCUAUUGCUCUUUUCACUAAUAACCACAAAGCAGGUAGAGGCAUGGCAGACUAAUUUGGUUUAUAUGUCCAGCUGUAAGGCUAGACACUGCAUCAUUCUUUUCAGAAACCAGUGACUUUAGGCAUGUGGAACUUGUAGUCAUGACAACAAUAAACCAGCUUGGAGUCUGAGUUUCAGCUCAGAAACUGCCUUGUCUCCAUUACUUCCUGCUCUUGACCUGACUUUUCUUACUCUCUGGGGCUGGGGGCUGGGGAUUUAUGAAAGAUCUAUUGAACAGAGCUCCUGUCUAAGUUUAAUGCUUAAAAUGUCUGGGUUGAAAGUUUUGCUUGCACAGAUGGCUAAAGGCUGCAAGAAGGAUAGAUCAAUCAUUAUUAUAGCUAAUGACACGGUUAUAAGAGUGUACACAAAGGUGAGCUGAUUUGGAAAAUGGGAAAAGGCAAUGUGAAAAGAGUGACUUGGAAGCGUUUCUUUGAAUAACAUAAACAUGGUACAAAUAAAAUGUACUUUUAAACACCGCAGGGUAUUAAUUACUAUAGUUCUGAGAGAACCUAUCCAAAAGGUACAAUGGAGAGUAAUCAGAAAAAAAAUUAGUACACAAUGCUGAGUGCAUGUUUUUGUGUGUAUGUGUGUAGUUUUUAAAAUCUGAAGUAAUAAUUAGCAGAUGCUCAUGGCAAAAUCUCCAAGUGAUUAUUUUUGUGUCCCAUGUGUUUAAGGGAUUUAAGAGUGACUAUAGGAGUACCCUGGUGGCUCAGUGGGUUAAAGAUCUGGCAUUGUCACUGCUGCGUCUAUGAUGUGGGUUCAAUCCCUGGCCCGGGAACUGCCACAUACCAUGAGGGCAGCCAGAAAACUUAGUGACUACAGUGACAAAAGUGUUUGACAGCACUGGGUUCCAUGGCCUCCAUGAGGCACCAGCUACAAUGUUGGAAAGUUAUCUGACACUGCACAGUCUCUGGGUAUUUGGUGGUGAAGACAAAUGCUAGGAUUUGCGCUGUUAAUAGCUGAGAGAUGAAAUGAGAUCAUGGAGGGGAUGAGCACAGCUCAGUGCCUGGGGCAGAGUGAACACAGUGAUGGGUAAUUGUCAGUGUUGAUGCUUUUGGUGUCAUUGCUAGCAGGGUUUGUCCAGAAGAUGAAAUCUGUCCUUCAUAUAAUUAAAAUGGUUCAACUCUUCACUGUUACAAAGACACUAUCAUAGAGAUGGAAUGACUCUUUUCUUUCUGGAGAGAUGUUUUCUGGCUUUACUCUUUUCUCCGUAUAAUCUAGAUUUGAAGGAGGUAGUGGAUUAAUGGCAGGAGAAGGCAGGAAGGGCAGGGUGUGAAUUGCAGCCUAAAGGAAUGAUGUGUCUGGAGACUUUUGCAUCUUUUUAUUGCACAGGAUGUACCCCCUGCCCCGGAAGUGAAAAUUUUCACUGUCAUUUCUGUUUCCUGUUCCAUUAGUCCAUUGACAUAGUACUAUAUAAUUGUGUUUUUUUCAAGUUCCUGUUUUCUAGCAACUUGCUACAACAAGCCAAUAGGCAAAGAAAUGACACAGAUCAAAUCCUAGAGAGCAGUCAAAUGCUUCCAUUCUUUUCUAGAAAUUGAAUGAUUUGCUUUCCUCAGAGAUCAGCUUCAUGAUUUCAUGAUGAUGCGGUUAAGCUUCUGAGUGAACAAGAUGCUGCCCAGAGGCCACAUUAUUCUCCAUGACUUUGUAGAGUGUGAAUCACCAUGUAGAAAUCUGAUAAAGUAAUUCAGUUAUUAUAAUUUGAGAAAUCAUGAGCCACAAACCGAUUAUUUGGUUCUUCUUAGUGUAAGAGUUUAAUGAUCUUGCAAAUAAUUAAAUUUUUUCUUAGCAUUGUCCCAACUGGCAGUUAUAGUUUAUAUCAGCGUAAGAUUAUUUUCUGAGAUGUAUGAUUAGGUCACAUUCUUAUCUUACAUAUUUAUGAGAUGUAUGAUUAGGUCACAUUCUUAUCUUACAUAUUUAUGAGAGAAACAGGUUUUUGUAUGUUCCUCAUGAGCAUGAAAGAGUUAAUAAAACUCCAGAGAAAGAUAAACAUAUUACUUUUUUCUAGUAACAUUAAUUCUUAUGCAUUUUAAAUUGAUUAAAACAAAGGGCUGAUUAAUAUGAGAAAAAGUUAAACACUAGCAAGUAAGUAAGCAAGUAAGUAUAUUGGAAAUAUAAAAUAAACGUAUAUUAUAAAACCACUGUAUUACAGAAAGGAUAUGAUUGAGCGAAUAACUUUUAUGGACAUCACAGGCGUUAUUGAAAAUGUAAUUACAUGCUUAUGCAGGACCAUUAAAAUAGCAUUUACUAUAAAAAUACUAUUUUUUCAUCCAAAGUGGGCUUAUGGUGAUAGUUUUUCACCAUCUUUUAAUUAGAUUAAGUGAACGUAUAGCCAAGGUAUGGAGGAUUUUUGUGUUCUUUCACAAGAUCUCAUAAUUUCAUAAAUAUUGGUCCUAAGGUUUCCAAGCUUUGAAGGGGAUUUUGCAAAGUACAAACCUCUUUUUUCUUUCUUUCUUUUUUUUUUUUUUUUUUUUUUACAAGUUAGAAUGUUUAGUCUAUGCAAAAGAUAAAUCUUUUGAAAAUUCAGUCUGUAACAUGCCCAGAGGAAACAAUUGCCUUUUAGAAGUUCCCUCCUGGAAUAUGUCUGUCUCUUCAAUAUUGGUAUAUUUUUGUUAUUGCUCACAAAUGUUGCUGAUGAAGGUGUUUCAAGUAAAGGAGGAAUUGAAAUAACGGGAAAAAUAAAGCUAUUUUUUAAUAUGUAACAGAAGGCAGAUUCAUCAGACAUGGAUUAAUGUUUAUGAUGUGCUUAACAGCAGAGAGCUCCAAUUUUUCCGGUGGACAUAUAGGAAUAUUAAUGACAAAAGGCCAGAUUCUUCCCCUUUGAAUUCCCUGUGGAUCUUUCUCAAGCGCCAGUGCAGACGUGGAAUCCAGGAGUACAAAUACAGACUUAGUCAAAGCAAACCUCCAUUCCAAAGGAGCUUGGUAUAUAUAUUUCAUGUCUAAUAUAAUAGUUAAAUUAGUUAAAUUUAACAUAUAUUAAAGAUCCAAGUUUUUUAAUAAUACGUACAGUGAGUCUAUUGAAUCAUAGAUGCUUCAUUGAAGUUCAGCUCAGGAGCCAAUUUUCCUAACUUAGGCUGGAACUAAAAACACAUAAUCUAGCUUGCAACAAAAUUUUGGCAAAAGUGAAGAGGCUAAUUGCAAAGAUUCAUCAUCAUUCAUUGCCAAGAAUUGAUAUACAAUAGCUGGGCUGAUUUAUUUGUAGUUUAUAAUGCUAAGUAAUGAGUGAAUAAUAAAAGGUAAAUGACCCCAGACUCCCCUCUUACACUGAGAAUGGAUAAGCAAUGAGACCCUACUGUACAGCACAGGGAACUAUAUCCAAUCUCUUGGGAUAGACCAUGAUGGAAGACAAUAUGAGAAAAAGAAUGUAUGUAUAUAUGUAU